rnacentral:misc_RNA from 1 species
GAUGAAGAACUAAGCGAAAUGCGAUAAGUAGUGUGAAUUGCAGAAUUCAGUGAAUCAUCGAAUCUUUGAACGCACAUUGCGCCCCUUGGUAUUCCAUGGGGCAUGCCUGUUCGAGCGUCAUUUGUACCUUCAAGCUUUGCUUGGUGUUGGGUGUUUGUCUCGCCUUUGCGUGUAGACUCGCCUUAAAAUAAUUGGCAGCCGGCGUAUUGAUUUCGGAGCGCAGUACAUCUCGCGCUUUGCACUCAUAACGACAGCGUCCAAAAGUACAUUUUACACUCUUGACCUCGGAUCAGGAAGGGAUACCCGCUGAACUUAAGCAUAUCAAUAAGCGGAGGA